rnacentral:misc_RNA from 1 species
UGCUUUUUCACUGUGCAUGCACGGA